rnacentral:rRNA from 1 species
UAGUCCUACGGGACGCAGCAGUGAGGAAUAUUGGUCAAUGGACGAGAGUCUGAACCAGCCAAGUAGCGUGAAGGAUGACUGCCCUAUGGGUUGUAAACUUCUUUUAUAAAGGAAUAAAACGAGGCACGUGUGCCUUUUUGCAUGUACUUUAUGAAUAAGGAUCGGCUAACUCCGUGCCAGCAGCCGCGGUAAUACGGAGGAUGCGAGCGUUAUCCGGAUUUAUUGGGUUUAAAGGGUGCGUAGGCGGGCUGUUAAGUCAGCGGUAAAAGCCCGGGGCUCAACCCCGGCGAGCCGUUGAAACUGGC